UACGUAGGGUGCAAGCGUUAAUCGGAAUUACUGGGCGUAAAGCGUGCGCAGGCGGCUUUGCAAGACAGAUGUGAAAUCCCCGGGCUUAACCUGGGAACUGCAUUUGUGACUGCAUGGCUGGAGUGCGGCAGAGGGGGAUGGAAUUCCGCGUGUAGCAGUGAAAUGCGUAGAUAUCAGGAGGAAUACCGGUGGCGAAAGCGACUCUCUGGACGGCAACUGACGCUGAGGCGCGAAAGCGUGGGGAGCAAACAGG
rnacentral:rRNA from 1 species